rnacentral:rRNA from 1 species
CAGGUCCUACGGGGCGCAGCAGUGGGGGAUAUUGGACAAUGGGGGGGAACCCUGAUCCAGCGACGCCGCGUGAGUGAAGAAGUAUUUCGGUAUGUAAAGCUCUGUCAGCAGGGAAGAAAGCAAUGACGGUACCUGACCAAGAAGCCCCGGCUAACUACGUGCCAGCAGCCGCGGUAAUACGUAGGGGGCAAGCGUUAUCCGGAAUUACUGGGUGUAAAGGGAGCGUAGACGGCUGUGCAAGCCAGAUGUGAAAGCCCGGGGCUCAACCCCGGGACUGCAUUUGGAACUGUGUAGCUGGAGUGUCG